UCCAGAAGACAUAAAAUGUACAAACAAAAUAUAAUAUUAAAAACUACGCAAGUCUGAUGGAUCAUUGGAAAUCGAAAAAAGAUGGCCACAUCAUAAUGACAUCUGAAAUCUAUAGCUGGUCAGUCAAUGACAUCUGUGAAAUCUAUAGCUGGUCAGUGUGAAGGAUUGACUGUCUACUGAUUUGUGUCAACUGUGUAUAUUGAUAUUAGGCAACGUUUGCCAUCAAUGACGUCACACAGUUGGUCCACCCACAUACUUGGUCCACCCAACGUGCCGACGUUUGUAUCGUCAAAGGGAAGAAAACAAUCAAUGCUAGUAUGUAUGCAGCCUUUUUGCUCUUCUGCAAACCUAAGACUUGGGGGCCAGCUGCGAGCUAUAGCACGAUCAACUUAUGUUACACUGUCCCCAUGCCUGGGCAGCUGUGAACAGGUGAGUAACUCGAUAGACCAGUUCAAAUUUCAUAUCCCAUGGUGCACCUUGCUGACAUUGUUACCCUGGGGACAAGACAGCUUAUUUGUUUCAACAUCCAGCUUCGGUGUUCCUCAUCUUGUGUUUUUUUACAUUCCACGUUCUGUUAAUCAAUAGUCGAAAUUGAAGUAAUACAAAGCAAGCGUGUUGGCUGAGGUUGAUGAGUGUUUAUUGGCUAAAAUGACAACGGGUGUUCAACAGCAGCCUAAUCAAGGCCUGUUCCAACACACUGAGUUUACAUAUCUCCACACAUUGCUCCCAUGAUGGGAUUACUCUCAAUUACUAAUAAAUGUGACUGAUUACAAAACCUUCUCUCACCAUAUCAUACGAUCACCGAAAUAAACGCACUGCGGUAUGC